UACGUAGGGUGCGAGCGUUUGUCCGGAAUUACUGGGCGUAAAGAGCUCGUAGGCGGUUUGUCGCGUCUGCUGUGAAAACCUAAGGCUCAACCUUGGGCUUGCAGUGGGUACGGGCAGACUAGAGUGCGGUAGGGGUGACUGGAAUUCCUGGUGUAGCGGUGGAAUGCGCAGAUAUCAGGAGGAACACCGAUGGCGAAGGCAGAUCUCUGGGCCGUAACUGACGCUGGAGGAGCGAAAGCAUGGGGAGC
rnacentral:rRNA from 1 species